rnacentral:rRNA from 1 species
GACGAACCGUGCGAACGUUGUUCGGAAUCACUGGGCUUAAAGGGCGCGUAGGCGGACGACCAAGUCGGGGGUGAAAUCUUUCGGCUCAACCGGAAAAUAGCCUUCGAUACUGGCCGUCUAGAGGGAGGUAGGGGCGUGUGGAACUUCCGGUGGAGCGGUGAAAUGCGUUGAUAUCGGAAGGAACACCGGUGGCGAAGGCGGGUCUCUGGGCAAUUCCUGACGCUGAGGCGCGAAAGCGUGGGGAGCAAACGGG